GACGAACGCUGGCGGCGUGCCUAAUACAUGCAAGUCGAACGCAGUGGGGACGGGUGAGUAACACGUGGGUAACCUCCCAUCAGAGGGUCUACCACUUGGAAACAGGUGCUAAACCUAUACUGAUGGAUGGACCCGCGGUGCAUUAGCUAGUUGGUGCGUUAACGGCGCACCAAGGCCACGAUGCAUAGCCGACCUGAGAGGGUGAUCGGACACACUGGGACUGGGACACGGCCCAGCCUCCUACGGGAGGCAGCAGUAGGGAAGCUUCGGCAAUGGACUAAAGUCUGACCGAGCAACGCCGCGUGAGUGAAGAAGGUUUUAGGAUCGUAAAACUCUGUUGUUAGAGAAGCGGUAUCUAACCAGAAAGCCACGGCUAACUACGUGCCAGAAGCCGCGGUAAUAC
rnacentral:rRNA from 1 species